CUGGUGAAUUUCUUCGGAAUGUUGAACAAGAUCUAGCUGCAUUAGCUAAAGAGUAUUCUUCAUUGCUCGAGGAAUUCAUUUCUCAGCUGCCUUUGCAACAACACGUUGAUUUGAAGUUUCUCCUAUUUCGCCUUGACUUCACUGAAUUUUACAGCCAAUUACGACCUCAUGUGUAGAGUGGAUGUCAGAUGUAUAUUUCUCAUGGCCUGCAUUGGUCACACAAUUGGUAGAGCUCCUAACAAAUUUUUCAUGGCAGCCACAGGGAUCAACCAUUGAAAAGUUCAUUGCCUGGCAUGUAAUUUUAGGUAUGUGGUUGCUCAUUUGUUUAUAGUUUGCUGCAGAGGUUGUUAUUACAUAUAUAUGCCAAUCUGUGCUCGUAUAUGAUACUUUCCAGGGUUUUAACCAUUUUUAUCAUUUAUGAAUAGAAAUGGUGUUUGGUAUUAUGUUUAGCCCAGUAGUCUACAGUUCACUUUAAUGUUGUAUUUGUUGUCUCAUUUUGGAUUAUUUGUUAGUGUUUUUGUGGCUUUCAAGUCCGUAUCCAAGUUCGUAGUUUUCUUUCUUAAGCUGUGUUAUGGGGGGCUCUUAGGCUUGGAUCUGAGUGCGUUUUUGCACAUUUCAGCAUCCGUCAGUCAUGUAGUUAAUUUUUCUUAAUGGUAUCUUUGAUGCUUUAUAUAGUUCAACACCUGCAAAUGUUUAAAUUUGACAAGGGCAUGAUGAUCCUUGUCCCUUCCUUUCUAUUGUUUAGAAUAAAAAAAAUACAAGAUGAUCCAAUGGGCAGCCCAGUUAAAAAGAAAAAAAAGCAUGUAAGAGCAAAGGGGAGGGGUUGCAAAAAAGGAUAGAAAAAUAAGCUUACUGGACCAACAAUCUAUGUCCCAGCCGGUAAAUGAACUGCAAGAUGUACCAUCAUGUCAAAAAAUGCAGGGGAAAAAUUUCUUUCAAAUUUGUAGAGUAUGAGCACAAUAUCAACUUCCAAACGAUUCAAGUUAUUGAAUGUAUUGUCUUCGCACACAAAUCACAGAAAAGUUACGUAACUCAUAUAGUUGUGUACACAUCCUUAUGUAAGUACGCUCGUACAACAAUGAAGAUAAGUUGUUGAAGUAAAAUGUGAGAGUCAUGAGUCUUUGGUCCCCAUAAUUUUCCAUCAUUGACACUCACACAUCAUGAUAUGUUUGAGACAAAUCCAUCCGAAAAUUUAAUCGAUUUCAAGAACUUACAAAAGUCUAUUCUUUCGCUACCUAUUAAUGUAUAUGUAGCAUGUGGUUUUAUCAGCUUAGUUUUUUGCCUUUGCAAAUGUAUCUCCUUUUGUAUAUUCAAGUCUUCUAGAUUUAAACGGGCAUUGAUUGUGUCCUUCAUUUUACCAUCAAUAUUUAAUAAAGUGCCAAGCAAGUUGUCACAAACAUUUUUUUCAAUAUGCAUGACAUCCAACUUAUGCCUCAAAAGAAGUUUAGACCAAUAUGAAAGUUUAAAGAACAUACUUUUCUUAUUCCAGUUAAUAGUACGUUUUCUUUUCCUAUUUGUCUUGGAUGGAUGCUUACUUAACACUGAAAAGUUCAUGGAGUUAUUUGGUGUAAGAUCUCAUCUCCACUCAUUACCACUGGUGGAGGCCUACAUUCGGGUUUUUUUUGUCACGUUGUCGACUUCGAUGCCAACUAUGAUCAGAAGGAAGAUAGCAUUGAUGUCCCAUAAAAGAUAUUUUUUCCUUUUAUCCCAAACGAUGGCAUAUCUUCUUUACAAGUAGAACAUGCUUGAUAUCCUUUCGUACUUCACUCUGAAAAGUCACCAUAUGCAGGAAAAUCAUUGAUAGUCCACAACAAACAUGUAUGUAAUCGAAAGUACUCCUCGUCUGUACAGUCAAAGGUUCACACACCAUGUCUACAACUCUUUCAACUCAUCAAUUAAGGGUUGCAAAUAUACAUCAAUCUCUUCCUCAGGAGAUUUUGGUCCAUGUACAGGCAAAGCAUGAAAAAAUUGGAUUCUUUCAUGCAUUUCCAAGGGAGUAAAUUGAUGGUAUGAGCAUUAUGGACACAUGCAAUAGGCAGUACUCAUAUUUUUAAAUGGAUCAAAACUGUUUGAAGCUAAGCCUAAACGAACAUUUCUUGGAUCUGAAGCAAAUUGAAAAAAUUCUCUAUCGAAAUGCUUUAUUGAAAAAGUUGCAUAACCAUUAUAGGAGUUCAAGAAAAUUAGCUUUACUUUUCGAAUGUUCAGUUUCAUCAUGCCCACGGAAUGCAAGACCUUGUUGUAAUAAAAAUCGAGCACAAUCAAUUGUUGCACCUAACCGAAUUCAAUCGAUAGUAAAUUCUUACUUGAUCAUAAAUAUGUUAAAAAAUGUUGUAAUUUGUUGUUUUGACUUAAAAGAGCUUCACAUUUGCCCCAAACUUGGUUAUGUGCAUUAUUUAGUCUUCUAACAUGAGUUUGCAAUUUCUCUUUUUUCUUCCAAUGUGAAAAUCCUUCACCAACAAAAUUGUCACGUUCUGAUUGUUCUCCAACUUCUGGUUUGAAUUAAUAACAUAAACAAUAGGCAACAUCUUUUGAAAUACUAUAUUCCAACCAACUAGAAUAUUCAGUAAACUAAAUUGAAUUAAACUUUCUUGACUAUAACUUGGAGGUUGGUAAGGUCCUUUUUGUAGAUAUGUUCUACGAACUUGAUCUCAAAUUCUACAAUUAUAAUUACGAAUUCUAGUUCUUAAAUUAAGACUUGGUGGUAAAUCUUCUAAAUUUACUUUAGUGAUAUACCUCCCCUAACUAUUAUUACUUUUCUUCAAAAACGAUGAUGACUCUGUUGAUUUUCUUUUAAAAUAUUUCUCAACUUAGAUUUCAACUUAAAUCUACAAUAACACGACAACGAGAAUAAAUCAAGAAGAAAUUGACGACAUAUAAGAACAAUAUCAUAAUUUAAAUAACCUAACAAGGACUUAAGAUCCAUAAAUUAUUUCAAGAAUUAAUAAAAUAAAUAUAAAAUAAAGGAUCUAAUACAAAAAAAACAGAAUGAUUUGAAAAAUGAGAAGUAAAUGCAUAAAUAACAAACUCUAAAACGAGAAAAAAAUAAAUCACAAAACUUGCCUAAAAAAUUAGGUGAUAAAGUUGAAGAAGAAACCACGAGGGAAGAAAUUUUUUUAAAAACUAAAAUAAAAGCUAAGAAUGGUUUUAAAAUAUUAAAAAAUGAAUAUAAAAAGGAUAAUCAACCUAAAAAGAAUAAAUGAGGAAAGAGAAAGGAUUUGGUUAAUUUGGAAAUGGAAAAGGAAAAGAAAUAUAUUAAUAAUAAUAAUGAUAUUAUAUUAGUAUUAUUCUUAUUAUAUUUAAACCGUCUUGUUUCCAUGCAUUUAUCUUCUUUCUCACCUCACAAGAAAACCUUAAUGAGUCACCAAAGACCAAUUUCUCUUAGGUGUUCCUUUGGGUUCACCGAAUACCAGAUGAGUUCCUAGGGUUCACUGGAUAGCUUGUAUUUGGGAGCAGGACUAAUAGUGGGUCCUUUAUUGAGUAUGUGUUUAUACUCAUCAUUUUCUAUGUUUAAUAUUUCAGACAAAGGUAAAGAUAGAGAAAAAUCGGUGAGCCACAAAAAGAAUUCGUGACAUGUCAUAUGGUAACACAGUUUUGCUUCUGCUUUUUAUGGUUUUGAACUUAAAUAUUAUCUGUUUGUUUUUAUUAUCUUUAAAAUUGUAGAACUAGCUGCCCAACAUGUUUUCAGCUUAAUAGAGAGAGUUGAAUCGUUACAUGAAGAAUGAACUAGCCCUGGAUAGCAGAUGGCAAGAAGGCUUUAACACAACGCGCUGGUGAAUUUCUUCGGAAUGUUGAACAAGAUCUAGCUGCAUUAGCUAAAGAGUAUUCUUCAUUGCUCGAGGAAUUCAUUUCUCAGCUGCCUUUGCAACAACACGUUGAUUUGAAGUUUCUCCUAUUUCGCCUUGACUUCACUGAAUUUUACAGCCAAUUACGACCUCAUGUGUAGAGUGGAUGUUAGAUGUAUAUUUCUCAUGGCCUGCAUUGGUCACACAAUUGGUAGAGCUCCUAACAAAUUUUUCAUGGCAGCCACAGGGAUCAACCAUUGAAAAGUUCAUUGCCUGGCAUGUAAUUUUAGGUAUGUGGUUGCUCAUUUGUUUAUAGUUUGCUGCAGAGGUUGUUAUUACAUAUAUAUGCCAAUCUGUGCUCGUAUAUGAUACUUUCCAGGGUUUUAACCAUUUUUAUCAUUUAUGAAUAGAAAUGGUGUUUGGUAUUAUGUUUAGCCAGUAGUCUACAGUUCACUUUAAUGUUGUAUUUGUUGUCUCAUUUUGGAUUAUUUGUUAGUGUUUUUGUGGCUUUCAAGUCCGUAUCCAAGUUCGUAGUUUUCUUUUCUUAAGCUGUGUUAUGGGGGGCUCUUAGGCUUGGAUCUGAGUGCGUUUUUGCACAUUUCAGCAUCCGUCAGUCAUGUAGUUAAUUUUUCUUAAUGGUAUCUUUGAUGCUUUAUAUAGUACAACACCUGCAAAUGUUUAAAUUUGACAAGGGCAUGAUGAUCCUUGUCCCUUCCUUUCUAUUGUUUAGAAUAAAAAAAAUACAAGAUGAUCCAAUGGGCAGCCCAGUUAAAAAGAAAAAAAAGCAUGUAAGAGCAAAGGGGAGGGGUUGCAAAAAAGGAUAGAAAAACAUAAAGAUGUAAAAUGGAUUGACGUUGCAAGUUGGUCUUAGCUGAAUUUUGUUUCUAGUCUUUCACAUUAUUAGUAUGCUGCGAUUAUGUAAACACCACCAUAACAUCAGUUUACUUGCGUUAUAAUUGCUUGUUUUCCUAUUUUACCUAGGUCUAUAUGUAACUCUUCAAAUUAUGUGAUUUUGUUAUUCCAUUGAAAAGUACAAGGGCUAAGCUUCUGCCUAUGGGUUAGGUUUUCCUUAAUACAUUGCAUAGUUAUAUUUAUUUUUGGGGUAAAUUGCAAAAAACACCCCUAAAGUAGGGUGACAAUUGCAAUUACACCCUCAAACUUUCAAUAACAACAAUUGAACUCCUAAACUUUUAAAAGUGUUAAAUUGGACCCUCAACAAGCUUACAAUAAUUCUAAAAUUUGGUUACGCGAAUGAUAAAAAUUGAAUAAUCAAACUUAUAUAAUUAGUAUAAUUUAUACAAUUAUGUAUGUUUGAGAGUUAAAUUUGAAAAUUUGGAUAAGUUUGAGGGUGUGAUUGCAACUAUCACUAUAUUUUAAGAGUGUUUUUUUUGCAAUUUACCCUUAUUUUUAUCCGGUGACAAAUAACUUCCCUUUUCAACCAGUACUUCGUUCAAAAAGAAAAAACCAAAAAGAAACUCCCCUCUUCAGUCAAUACUAGCCAUGGUUGGAUUACUAUUUACAACUUGCUAAGUUAAACCCUAUUAGUUCUGCCACCUAUUCAACUCCACCAAAUCACAAUGAAUGCCAGAAUCCAACUUUUUUCUCUGUUUACCUUCAAUCCAAAAGUAGACUGAAAAAUAACACAAGCUAGUUUUGGUUCACAAAAGCCUCCUCCCUACCUUAAAUUAAAAGAAGAUUACAUCAUUAGGAAACUGACAAUGAGUCAAUGGAAACUUACACCUGGCCCUCCCAACCAAAAAGUAAUUCUGCUGGUAGAGUUUUCAGACAUGGCCAUGCAUGACCACAAAAUUCAAUUAUAAUAUACGAAGGAUAUUCCUAGGCAUGGCCAUGCUCCAGCCAAAGGCUUCAAGUACUUAGUUCUAAUACUUUUCGAUAAAUCACCCCUUAAUCCAAAAGCUUAAGCCAAUGACCUAUAGUUAUGGUAAGUCUUACUUCCCCAAGGCUCGAUUGUCGAUCAUUGGGAUUUUGCUACCUUCUUUUGAUCCCUAUCACUUAGAAGAAGUUUAAAAGAUGUUGAAAUUGUCGAAUUUGAAUCAUUACUCUCCGUUCUCUUAGAUGAACAAGUUCUUGAUUUCGAAGAUCACAAAAUUUGGUCUAUUGACCCCAUGGCUGGUUUACGGUUAAAUCUCUCUCGACCAAUUUGCAUUCAAUUCACCAAAUGGAUAAUCGUUUAUUUAAAGCCUUAUGGAAGUCCUCCAGCCUCCAGAGAGUUAAUAUUCUGAUUUGGAUGAUGAUUUUUGGGUCCCUCAAUAGUGCUGAUAUACUUCAAAAGAAGGCCCCCAACAGGUGCUUUCUAUAAGGCCCCCAAUUAUCCACACCUAUAGGAGGAGGGGUAGAAAGGUAACUGCACAGAAUAGUAUUAUUGAGGAAUGAUUGGAAGGAAGAUCGUGUUGGGUAGGGCCCACUGGGUUGAAAGAUAAGUGAGCCUAUAAAUAGCUAUUGUUAGGUAUGAGGUAGCGAGGGUAUUUUUUUUAUCUUCUUAAGGUGUAGGGCUACUGUAGCCGCAAGAGUCUCUUAAUCAAGGAGACUGGUAUAUUCUUUUCUUUGUUGUUCUUUGUUGAUUUCUUUUCAUCUUGUGACGUUGUAAUCAUUUUGGCUUAUAUAUAAAUAAAAUAAAUCAGAGUACCGCCUCUGUUUAGCCAUUUUAUAGUGUUUUCGGUCCAAAUCAGUGUUGGUAUCUUAACAUUUGGUAUUACAGCCAUGAAGAUACAUUGGCCAUCCCAGAUCAUGACAUUUCAGAUGGGAAAGAAACAGAUUAUCCACAAGGGUGAUCCUUCACUUAUUAGGGCUGAAUGUUCUUUGAAAACCAUAGAAAAAACAUGGGAGGAGGAUGAUCAAGGCUUCUUACUAGAAAUGCAGAGCUAUGAGGCAGAGAAAGAUGAGGAAUCAAAUGAAGUACAGAGAAUGAAGGGCGAUGAGGAGGAGUCCUCAAUGAUUCAAUUCUUACUCCAGUAGUACACAGAUUUAUUUGAAGAACCUAAGAGGCUACCACCUAAAAGGGAGGUUGACCAUCGUAUUUUGAUGUUGCCGGUCAGAAAGAAGAAAUUGAGAAGUUGGUAACCAAGAUGCUCCAAGUUGGGAUAAUACGACCCAAUCACAACCCCUACUCUAGCCCUGUUUUGUUGGUUAGAAAGAAAGUUGGAUGAUGGAGGUUCUGCGUUGACUACAAAAAAUUAAAUCAAGUAACCGUAUCGGAUAAAUUUCCAAUACCUGUGAUACAGGAAUUGUUAGAUGAGUUGCACGGGGCCACAAUCUUCUCAAAGUUGGACCUUAAAUCAGGGUAUUAUUAGAUACGGAUGAAGGACUAUGAGUUUUUGGUCAUGUCGUUCGACCUCACCAACACACCAGCUACCUUCCAAUCAUUAAUGGAUCAGGUAUUUAAACCUUUUCUCAGAAGAUGUGUAUUGGUUUUUUUUUACGAUAUACUUGUGUAUAGCACAGACCUCACAGAGCAUGAGAAGCAUUUGGGCAUGGUAUUUGCAGUAAUGAGGGAUAACCAGUUAGUUGCCAACAAAAAAAAAAAACGUGUGAUGAAGAAAAGAUUAAGGACAUGGUAAAUUGGCCCCAACCUAAAGAUGUAACUAGAUUGAAGGGGGUUUUUAGGCUUGACUAGUUACUACAGAAGAUUCGUCAAAGGAUAUGGGGAAAUGUCAGGACCUUUGACCAAGCUACUGGAAAAGAACUCAUUCCUAAGGGGAAGAAGCAACAAAGGCAUUCGAUAAGUUGAAAUUGGCCAUGACAACCCUACCCGUACUAGCUCUACCAGAUUGGAACCUACCCUUCAUCAUUGAAACGGAUGCGUCCGAGAUUUCUUUAGGGGUAGUUCUAUCUCAAAAUGGCCACCCUAUAGCUUUUUUUUUAUCAGAAACUAUCACCCCGAGCUCGAACCAAGUCCAUAUAUGAGAGGGAAUUGAUGGCCGUGGUCCGACCGGUACAAAAGUGGAGACAUUACCUUUUGGAAAGGAAGUUCACAUUCAUCUCAUAUCAGAGAGUCCUCAAAGCAAAGCAGCCGAUGCCCUCUCCUAAAUAGAACAGUCAGUGGAAUUGAGGAGUAUGUCCACCACGGGUAUUGUUAACAUGGAAGUGGUUGAGAAGGAAGUCGAGUUAGAUGAGGAUCUUAAGGCAAUCGUUGAAGAAUUAAAAGAAACUCCUAAUGAGUCUAAUAAAUUCCAAUGGUUGAAUGGAAACCUACUGUAAAAGAAGCGAAUUGUUCUGUCCAAGAAAUCCUCCUUGAUCCCGACCCUAUUACAUACGUUUCAUGACUCCAUUUUAGGAGGCCACUCCGGAUUCUUAAGGGCCUAUAAAAGAAUGAGUGAGGAACUGUAUUGGAAGGGCAUGAAAGCUGAUGUAAAAAAAUAUGUGGAGUGUGAGGUAUGCCAGAGAAAUAAGUUGGAAGCAACUAAACCAACCGGAGUUCUACAGCCAAUUUCAAUCACUGAAAGAAUUUUGGAAGAAUGGUUCAUGGACUUCAUUGAAGGGUUACCUAAGGUAGGAGGGAUGAAUGCGAUAUUGGUAAUAGUGGACCGACUAAGCAAAUAUUCUUACUUUAUCACCAUGAGGCAUCCUUUUACUGCUAAGCAAGUGGCUGAAGUGUGCUUCUAACAACUCAAGUCUAUCAUCUUAUAAUUCUUCAACUUCUGGGACAUCCUAUACUUAUUUAUUUUGAACAAUUUGCACAAUUUUCCAAUUAUUACGGAGUUUUGGGCCGUCAAUGUAGAAAACUUGCACAGCUUGAGUAGGUAGUAUGUAUGGGUCAUCAGUGUACUAGAAAUGAGAAUCAUUGAUUAUUCUAAACCCUAAAUCACUACGAAAUUUGUUCUUCUUGACAUCCAUGUCAAACCAAUUACAUUUGAAAAGGCAUACAUGUCUACACUUAGGAUAUUCUAAGUCCAAUACCUCGUACAAUACACCAUAAUAAUUCGUUUCAUUAGCUUUGGUUUCUCCACAUGCCAUGAUUCCACUAUUCUGAGUAGUUCGACGAUUGUCACACUCUAAUGAAUGAAAACGUAAUCCAUUUACAAAGCAACCACUAUAAGUGCGAACUUGAUUAAUAGGCCCCAACGCUAUGGAGUAAAGAUCAUCAGAUGCUUCACCUCUUUCACAUAAUGAAUACAUCUACAUAAUGUUAUAUAGGUUAUAAUAACUACUAGUAGCUUAAUAGUAAAACAAUAUACUUUGAAGCUAAAACAACACUUACAUGUGUUCUAAACCAAUCAGGAAAUUCUAAUUAAUGCCUUCUAAAUAAAUCUAAUUUAUCCUUUCCUCUGGUAUUUAUCAAGCUCAAAUGUUCACUGCUUAGUAAUCAUAUCAAACAUUAAAAGGAAUUUUAACUUAGUCAUAUACAAUAUGAACUGACAAGUAAAUGAUUAAACAAUAUGUACCUGCGAUACGAUUUUACUUGACAACAAUUGUUCAGAACAUACCAAUGACACAUUCUUUUUUCAUCGUCAGAUAGCGUCCUCACAACUGACCCCCUCAUUAGUCGCACAUUUUGUUUAAAUACAUCAAAGUUCCCACAACCAAGUUGUAUGUUCAUUGAGUCAUCAUUUCGUGGAUUCUUAUUGAAUCUUGUCUCUAUUUCUGUUAGAUACAUCGAGCAGAAGGUUAAACAUUCAUUCAUAAUGAAUGCUUCUGCUAUGAACCUUCAAGACGAGCUUUGUUCCAUACAUAUUGUUUUAAUGUUCGCAAGCUUUUUUCUAUGGUAUACAUCCCACUAUAGCUUACUGGACCAACAAUCUAUGUCCCAGCCGGUAAAUGAACUGCAAGAUGUACCAUCACGUCAAAAAAAUGCAGGGGGAAAAUUUCUUUCAAAUUUGUAGAGUAUGAGCACAAUAUCAACUUCCAAACGAUUCAAGUUAUUGAAUAUAUUGUCUUCGCACACAAAUCACAGAAAAGUUACGUAACUCAACUAUAGUUGUGUACACAUCCUUAUGUAAGUACGCUCGUACAACAAUGAAAAUAAGUUGCUGAAGUAAAAUGUGAGAGUCAUGAGUCUUUGGUCCCCAUAAUUUUCCAUCAUUGACACUCACACAUUAUGAUAUGUUUGAGACAAAUCCAUCCGAAAAUUUAAUCGAUUUCAAGAACUUACAAAAGUUUAUUCUUUCGCUACCUAUUAAUGUAUAUGUAGCAUGUGGUUUUAUCAGCUUAGUUUUUUGCCUUUGCAAAUGUAUCUCCUUUUGUAUAUUCAAGUCUUCUAGAUUUAAACGGGCAUUGCUUGUGUCCUUCGUUUUACCAUCAAUAUUUAAUAAAGUGCCAAGCAAGUUGUCACAAACAUUUUUUUCAAUAUGCAUGACAUCCAACUUAUGCCUCAAAAGAAGUUUAGACCAAUAUGAAAGUUUAAAGAACAUACUUUUCUUAUUCCAGUUAAUAGUACGUUUUCUUUUCUUAUUUGUCUUGGAUGGAUGCUUACUUAACACUAGAAAGUUCAUGGAGUUAUUUGGUGUAAGAUCUCAUCUCCACUCAUUACCACUGGUGGAGGCCUACAUUCGGGUUUUUCUGUCACGUUGUCGACUUCGAUGCCAACUAUGAUCAGAAGGAAGAUAACAUCGAUGUCCCAUAAAAGAUAUUUUUCCUUUUAUCCCAAACGAUGACAUAUCUUCUUUACAAGUAGAACAUGCUUGAUAUCCUUUCGUACUUCACUCUGAAAAGUCACCAUAUGCAGGAAAAUCAUUGAUGGUCCACAUCAAACAUGUAUGUAAUCGAAAGUACUCCUCGUCUGUACAGUCAAAGGUUCACACACCAUGUCUACAACUCUUUCAACUCAUCAAUUAAGGGUUGCAAAUAUACAUCAAUCUCUUCCUCAGGAGAUUUGGGUCCAUGUACAGGCAAAGCAUGAAAAAAUUGGAUUCUUUCAUGCAUUUCCAAGGGAGUAAAUUGAUGGUAUGAGCAUUAUGGACACAUGCAAUAGGCAGUACUCAUAUUUCCAAAUGGAUCAAAACCGUCUGAAGCUAAGCCUAAACGAACAUUUCUUGGAUCUGAAGCAAAUUGAAAAAAUUCUCUAUCGAAAUGCUUUAUUGAAAAAGUUGCAUAACCAUUAUAGGAGUUCAAGAAAAUUAGCUUUACUUUUUGAAUGUUCAGUUUCAUCAUGCCCACGGAAUGCAAGACCUUGUUGUAAUAAAAAUCGAACACAAUCAAUUGUUGCACCUAACCGAAUUCAAUCGAUAGUAAAUUCUUGCUUGAUCAGAAAUAUGUUAAAAAAUGUUGUAAUUUGUUGUUUUGACUUAAAAGAGCUUCACAUUUGCCCCAAACUUGGUUAUGUGCAUUAUUUAGUCUUCUAACAUGAGUUUGCAAUUUCUCUUUUUUCUUCCAAUGUGAAAAUCCUUCGCCAACAAAAUUGUCACGUUCUGAUUGUUCUCCAACUUCUCGUUUGAAUUAAUAACAUAAACAAUAGGCAACAUCUUUUGAAAUACUAUAUUCCAACCAACUAGAAUAUUCAGUAAACUAAAUUGAAUUAAACUUUCUUGACUAUAACUUGGAGGUUGGUAAGGUCCUUUUUGUAGAUAUGUUCUACGAACUUGAUCUCAAAUUCUACGAUUAUAAUUAAGAAUUCUAGUUCUUAAAUUAAGACUUGGUGGUAAAUCUUCUAAAUUUACUUUAGUGAUAUACCUCCCCUAACUAUAAUUACUUUUCUUCAAAAAAGAUGAUGACUCUGUUGAUUUUCUUUUAAAAUAUUUCUCCACUUAGAUUUCAACUUAAAUCUACAAUAACAUGACAACGAGAAUAAAUCAAGAAGAAAUUGAUGACAUAUAAGAACAAUAUCAUAAUUUAAAUAACCUAACAAGGACUUAAAAGAUCCAUAAAUUAUUUCAAGCAUUAAUAAAAUAGAUAUAAAAUAAAGGAUCUAAUACAAAAAAAAAAAAAGAAUGAUUUGAAAAAUGAGAAGUAAAUGCAUAAAUAACAAACUCGAAAACAAGAAAAAAAUAAAUCACAAAACUUGCGUAAAAAAUUAGGUGAUAAAGUUGAAGAAGAAACCACGAGGGAAGAAAUUUUCUUAAAAACUAAAACAAAAGCUAAGAAUGGUUUUAAAAUAUUAAAAAAUGAAUAUAAAAAGGAUAAUCAACUUAAAAAGAAUAAAUGAGGAAAGAGAAAGGAUUUGGUUAAUUUGGAAAUGGAAAAGGAAAAGAAAUAUAUUAAUAAUAAUAAUGAUAUUAUAUUAGUAUUAUUCUUAUUAUAUUUAAACCGUCUAGUUUCCAUGCAUUUAUCUUCUUUCUCACCUCACAAGAAAACCUUAAUGAGUCACCGAAGACCAAUUUCUCUUUGGUGUUCCUUUGGGUUCACCGAAGACCAGAUGAGUUCCUAGGGUUCACUGGAUAGCGUGUAUUUGGAAGCAGGACUAAUAGUGGGUCCUUUAUUGAGUAUGUGUUUAUACUCAUCAUUUUCUAUGUUUAAUAUUUCAGACAAAGGUAAAGAUAGAGAAAAAUCGGUGAGCCACAAAAAGAAUCCGUGACAUGCCAUAUGGUAACACAGUUUUACUUCUGCUUUUCAUGGUUUUGAACUUAAAUAUGUUUAUCUGUUUGUUUUUAUUAUCUUUAAAAUUGUAGAACUAGCUGCACAACAUGUUUUCAGCUUAAUAGAGAGAGUUGAAUCGUUACAUGAAGAAUGAACUAGCCCUUUAACAUAUAUUAAAUUCAUCGGGUGACACUCAAUCCAUGGAAUGUAAAUUGUUUAUGCAAAUAAGUUUUUGUUUAAAGUCGACUCACAGCGUUUUAAUAAACCAAACAAAUAAAAGUGUUUGGAUGAAUUGAUAUCUUUACUUUCAAUUCAACAAUCAAUUUUGUAGAAAAAGAAAAAAGGAAAAGGAAAAGGAAAAAGAAGUUGAAAGCGAUUGGGUAGUCGAUAAGGCGGAAGGGGUAAGAGUUGAAUUGAAGUUUGAUAGGUUCGUUGAAAAUGCCAAGAACCGACCGGUUUGAUUAGCCGGUUUAAACCCUAAAGGAAUCCAGCAUGUUUUUAAUGUGUGACUGAAUUUUAUUGAUUUUAUAUUAAUUUUUAGGUUUUUCUUUAACACAAUCCUAAACCCUUUUUUUUUUCUACAGCCCCACACACACGUGUCUCUCUCGUCAUUCUUAUAUCUCACUCUCUCCCGCCGCCGCCUGCCCUCCGCCGUUCCUCCACCGCUCCUCCCCCGCUCCUCCCCCGCUCCUCUCUUUCUAUCUCUCUCUCGUUUCGUUGUGAAGAUGUGUAAGAAAAUUUUGUAAUACUAAUUGACUCUACCGAAAGGUCAAUAAUAAAUAAUUCCAUUAGAACAUUUCUCACUCAGAUUCUGUUCCUGAUUUGUCUUCCUCUACCAUUUCAAUUUUCCGAUGAUAAUGAAUACCCUAGCUGCCACUUCGAAUCAAUUGCCUCUAACUGUCGGGCUACCGUCCAAGAUUUCUCUCAACUUUGACUCUAAAUUGUCAAGAUUGAGCUCCACCUCUCGAGCUCUUGUCGGCGGUAACUCAAGAGUGCUUGCAAUCAAAUGCUCUGCCGCAUCACUCGGUAAAAUUCUAAUCUGAAAGAAGAUAGUUGUUGUAACAAAUUUAGUUUACGAUUGACAGUUAUGGGGGAGCGAACUAGGAAUUGUUUAUUUUCCGACCAUUGUGGGCUGCUUUAGAAAAUUGAACAAUUUAUUUCGCUGAAUUUCAGUUCAUUUUGAUGGAUAGAAUUCUAACGUUGUAUUAUUGCUGUUUCUAGUCGACAGUCCAGAAGCAUUUAUUGAAGCUUCAAAGAAGGGGAAUUUGAUCCCGCUUCAUCGAUGCAUAUUCUCUGAUCACCUUUCGCCAGUGCUUGCGUACCGUUGUUUGGUCAAGGAAGAUGAUAGAGAAGCCCCAAGUUUUCUUUUCGAAUCCGUUGAACCUGGCUUGCAAGUUUCAAAUGUUGUAAGUAUUUUAAAGCUAUCAUUUCUUUUUCUGAAACAUUUAGAUAAAGUGUGAAUCGUAGUUUGUGUGCUGAAUAGUUGAUUUUGCUGAUAUACCAUUACCUCAGGGGAGAUAUAGUGUGGUUGGUGCUCAACCCUCAAUUGAAAUUUUGGCGAAAGAAAAUGUUGUUACAAUUUUGAAUCAUGAAGAAGGGAAAAGAACAGAGGAGAUUGUUGAGGAUCCUAUGACAGUGCCUCGAAGAAUCAUGGAGAAAUGGAAACCUCAAAUGAUUGAUGAACUUCCUGACGCUUUUUGUGGUACUAAUUGACUUACUAUGUUGAUGAUAUAAUGUACUCUAUAUUGAGCCAUCAAUUUAGUACAUCUAUUCCAGGAUAAUCUUUAUUUUUAUAAUAUACAGAAUAAUCAAUAUCACUUCAUAUACUAGCAAGGAUAUUGAUUAUUCUGUGUGGGGGUAGGUGGAUGUAGGUAUGUAUUGUUUAGCAUCAGCAAAUUUCUGAAGUUAUUGUUAAUUAGACUGCCUCCUGGAUAUCUUUGAUUUUAUUAUUGGAUAUCAAUGAGGAGAUUUUUAUUUUUCAGUUCUGUUUCAAGUUUAUUUUAUUUUAUCUUUCUUACAUGAUUCAGUUUUCUAAAAUUCAUGGCCUACUGCUACGCAAUUGACUGAAAAUCAUUCAUUAGGGGCCUCCUACAUGCCUUAAUGUCCCUAAUUCUUCCAAAUGUAUAUCUUGCCAGGAGGAUGGGUUGGUUACUUUUCAUAUGAUACUGUCCGCUAUGUAGAAAAGAAGAAAUUGCCAUUCUCUAGUGCACCAACAGAUGACAGAAACCUUCCUGAUGUUCAUCUAGGACUUUAUGAUGAUGUUAUUGUGUUUGAUCAUGUGAAUAAGGUAGAUUCAUUAAAUUUAAAGUACGUCGUUCUCAGACUUUGUGUUGCAAUCUUCUUAUUUAUAUAUCUAUUUAACUAUCAUUUGAAGAUAAUGACUUAGUCUACGUUGAUAUUAACUGUCAGUGAGUAGAGAGAGAGAUUUUUUUUUUGGAUUUUUUAGAAAGUUGUUCGUGAGUUUUAGCUCUGCCUUUCCUCUUUUGAGAUUUUCUUCUUUAUGAUUAAACAUUUCAGAGUAUGUCUGCAUUGAAAAACUAGUAAUGUUGUUAAUAGUAAUUUGAAUGUGUUCAACUUUUCUUUUGUAGAUAUUGCUGCUCACUUUUAUUCUUUGAUUUUUAUUGCAGCAAGCUUAUGUGAUUCAUUGGGUUCACUUGGAUCAAUAUUCUUCAGUUCAAGAAGCAUAUGAGGAUGGAACCGCUCGGUUGGAGAAGUUACUCUCCAGAGUACAUGACAUAGUUCCGUAAGUGAUCCUUUACUUUAGGGUAGGUCUUUCAAAUAUGGUUGCUCCCUGCCCCUCCAAUCGUUCAUGUUCAGUUAUUUCUCAGAUUGUUUAACACGGUUAAUUUCAGACCAAAACUUCCUGCAGGAUCAAUAAGAUUAUUAACUCAUCUUUUUGGUCCAAAACUGAAGAUGUCAAGCAUGACAAGUUUAGAGUACAAGAAGGCAGUUUUGCAGGCUAAGGAGCAUAUCCUGGCAGGGGAUAUCUUCCAAAUUGUAUUAAGUCAGCGUUUUGAGCGCCGAACAUUUGCAGAUCCAUUUGAAGUUUACCGAGCUUUGCGCAUUGUCAAUCCCAGCCCAUACAUGACUUAUUUGCAGGUUGCAUGCUUUGUCAGUUGUAGUUGUGCAUUAAAUUUAGCACUAAUUGGUUUCAUCCUUUGCUAGUCGAAGUGCUUUAUUGAUCACAAAAAUACAUGUCAUCAGGCUAGAGGUUGCAUCCUAGUUGCUUCAAGUCCAGAAAUUCUUACACGCGUGAAGAAGGUAAUCUAUUAGAGGCAUUAUACUGUCAUUUUAUUGUUUCACCGUUGUCUUUCGGCGACUGAUAUUUUGACUAUCAGUAAGUUACCUGUUAGGUAUCCCGACUUAGAAAACUCAAAAGAAAAUGCAAAGAAACACAAUAUAGUCAUAUAGUGCAAUAUCAUGAGAAGUUACAAUACCUAGAUGCAUCUCUUCUUCUUCUUUGAUUUUUUUUGCCCCUUGACUGCGGAUAGUUGGGAGUGGUUGUUCAAUUUGCACUAUGCCUCAGAUGCUCUUCUUUAUAUGAUUGAGACCCUUUGGUUUAAUAUUCAAGCGAAAAUCCUUUGGUCUCAUGGCGUCUUUGCCCUACUUUGGAGGCUCUAGUUUGAAAGAAAUUCGAGAAUUGUAUCAGGGUUGGAUUAUUGAAUUCUUGAUUCUUUUCAAUAUUUCUUUUGGGAUAAGAAGACACAAUUUCAUUGAUGUACGAUAUAAUUUAAAGGUUCUUCAAAAGAUCCCUAGCAAAGCCUCUUUUUUUAAAAAAGAUAUAUUUUUCUUGAUGGUUGUAUCUGUUUGUAUUUGCUUCAAUUUUCUGGUCCAGUCCAGUGUAGGGCUAUAUUUGGAUGUAUCUUCUUUAUCUUGCGUAGUAAUGAAAAGUUUUUCAAGAGCAUCUGUCUCCCAAGUUCCAUAAUGGACAAUCCUCACCAAAAUGAUUCCUAAGAUACCCAAACAGCAUUUAAGACCAAGACACUGCCGACUAAUUUCUCUUAAGCCCUAGGCCCCUACUACUAUACUACUAAUAUUUCCAAUGUAUCACUUGCUUGUUACACUAAUAUCAACAAUAGUUACUUUGGCUGGUUCUUAUUAUACAUAUGUGGAGUUGUAACAUUGUUGGCAUUUAUUAGAACUCUGUCUUCACCGUCUCAGUGCCUCAUUUUCUACUUCCCUUUCUUGAAGGCGACUGUUGACUGAGUAUUUUAUUCUGGGUGUCUGGUUCCGUUAACAUUGACAGGGAAAGAUUACUAAUCGACCCCUGGCUGGAACCAUUAGAAGAGGGAAAACAGAAAAGGAGGACAAAGUGUUGGAGAAGGAACUUUUGAACGAUGCAAAGCAAUGUGCCGAGCAUAUCAUGUUGGUUGACUUGGGAAGAAAUGAUGUUGGGAAGGUAUAUUUCUGUUUGAUCGUGGUUUAUUUUACCAUAUUAGUCAACUUUUUGUGUUUAUUUAAUAUGAGAUUCCUUGAGGUGCACAUAAGCUGGCCCAGACACUCAAACGUAUAAAAAAAAGUGUUUAUUUACUAUUAUUUCUAAAAUGCAGAUAUGGCCAUAUGCUAUAUAUAUAAUAUUCUAUAUAUACUAUACAUAUAUUGCCUUGUCAGCUUCUAUUGUAGGUCAUGCCUUGCCAGAUAUGUCAUAGAUGUAUAAUCUGUUCAGCUGCUACUGUCCUGUUCAUCAAUCUUCUUAGUAUUUAGAUGUAUCAAACCACCAAUUCGCAGCUGGUGGUUGAAGGCAAAUCUAAUAUAUAUCACUAACAAGAUGAUUAAAAUGGAAGUCCUUUUUCAUUUGAUCUAUUUCUCAAAAUUCUGAUUUUAGGAUGCUAUCUCUAGUUUAUUCUUUUGAUUGGAGGUUUGCCAGUAAAAUAUGGUUUUCUUUUUGGUACUCCAAAAGACGGUCCAGGAGGAAACCAGCGAUUGAUAUGAAUGCAACCAAUUGUUGGAUCAGAUUUACCAUGGAGAAACGUCCAAUCUUGCACUAUGCUGGUGUAUUCUAUCAGAAGAUCAGUUGUCGUUUAUACAUGUUCUGGUUCCUCUGUUCUUUUGCAGUAGCAUGAGAUUUAGUAUCUCCAAUUUUCUAAAUUGAUUUUCAAUGGCCAAUUGCUCACAUGAACAGCACAUGCAGGUAUCGAAGUUUGGCUCGGUUAAGGUUGAAAAGCUUAUGAAUAUUGAGAGGUAUUCUCAUGUUAUGCACAUUAGUUCAACUGUAAGUAUACUUUUCUCCUUGUCUACUCCAACCAAAAAGCGUAGUUUUUCUAGCAUUUUGGACAGUUUGUUUACAAAGUCAAACAUCAAUUUGUGCUUAUUUCCGAGUGAUUUGUCCUGUUUAAAUCAAUCUGAAAUGCAUCUUCAGAAUGAUCUUGAAAAUGACAAAAGUAGUUUUAACCAUUAUAGAAAUACUCCCAAACUUUAGCUAAUAAUGAAGCCUCUCUUCCCAGGUCACAGGAGAGUUAGUUGAUGAUUUAAACAGUUGGGAUGUGUUGCGAGCUGCCUUGCCUGUGGGGACAGUUAGCGGAGCACCAAAGGUAACAUUUUUACUUCUUCUCGUAUCAUGUAAAGUAGUCAAAGUUUAGAAUUGCAGUUUUUGAACUCUGGUGAAUGCUCAAAGUGACUUGUUCGAUGGAGCUCAUUUCAUGAGCAGUGACAAUCUUGAGGGCUUUUACUGAUCAACCUCAUUGCAAUGCAGGUGAAAGCAAUGGAGUUGAUUGAUCAGCUGGAGGUUACGAGGCGAGGACCGUACAGCGGUGGGUUUGGUGGGAUUUCAUUUUCAGGAGACAUGGAUAUAGCCCUUGCACUAAGGACCAUUGUGUUCCCCACUAAUACCCGUUACGACACCAUUUACUCGUAUAAGGAUGCAAACCGCCGAAUGGAAUGGGUAGCUCACCUCCAAGCCGGCGCUGGCAUUGUUGCAGACAGUGAUCCUGGUGACGAACAAAGGGAGUGUGAGAACAAAGCCGCUGCACUUGCCCGUGCAAUUGACCUUGCAGAGUCGUCAUUCAUUGGAAAAUAAUGACAAACUUACGUUCAUUCUUACUGUUGUUUUCCAUUCAUCCAUUAGUAGUUUCAAGUUCCAAUUUUUGGGUUAAAAAAUGACUAUAGAUAUAAUCAUUUUAUAUUAGUUUUUAGUACUCGAGUAUUAAUUUAGCCUCUAUAUAUUUGAAAUUACAUACUCAACUUUUUUAUAACUAAAAGUUUCUAUUAUUCAUAGAUUUUUUUAGACACAAUUUAAAGUUCAGGAUUUGGUUGGACAAUGAACUCUCAAAUUCGAAUUUCUCAGGGAAUUAUUAAACACAAAGUUAAAAGUUAUUAGAAUGUUUAAGGUAUUAGAUGCCUUUGAAAGCUCAAGGCCUUAAUCAUUGCAAUUGAAUGUAUUGUUAUUAGCUAUUAUUUGAUCUAUCAAAGUUGUGGUUUCUAGCUCAACUCCUUUUGGAAUUAAAUAAACUAAACAAUAUUAUAUUUUCAAUGGGGUUUUUUUAAAAAUAGAUAAACUAUUUAACUUUCAUAGAAUAAAAAGUUAUGAACUUACUUUUGUGUAAAUAUUUUUACUAAAAUUUGAUCGAACAAUUUACUCUUUACUUUUAAUUUCAUCACAUGAAAAAAAGAUCUAUUUUUAAUUUCCUAACAUUGAAAAAAGAAUUUACUAAAAGUAGAGGUUAAUUUUUAUUAUUUUAUAAUAUAGACUGUAUUUUAUAAAAAAAAUUGAAACUUUAAUUAUUUCAUCGAUUUAAUAAAUCUCAUUAAAUCUUCUACAAUAGGAACUAGUAAAUUCUAAAGUAGAGAAUAAAUUUCUUUUAUAGUAAAGUUCAGAAACAAAUUGUUACAAAAUUAGAAAUAUAAAAGAGCAUUGUGGUAAUAAUAUACUUUUAGGGGAAUUUGGAUGUAUAGCAAUAAAAUAAAAUAAAAUAAAAUUUGUGUAUGCGUCUUUAAAUUUAUGUUAACUAGAUUCAUAUGAAUUUAUAAUAUACAGUAAUUUAUAAAUAUUAAUUAUUCUGUAUUAAAUAUGAUUCAGUACACUAUGGUUGGGUAUAAUUAAGUAUGUUGGAUGAAUGGUAGAAAGUUAAUUUUAUAUAAAUAUAACAAAAAUCUAAAAAUAUUUACGGUUCGUGUAAUAAAAAAUAAUAGCUAGUAAAUCUGAUAAAAAUAUUUUAUAAUUUUCAAAUUUGUUCUUGGCCUCACUUCUCUGUCUUCUUCUUUCUUGUUUGCGAUUUCUUCUCUUUUCCAAAUUUCUUCAUCUCCUCUUUUAUAUUUUUUUUCUUUUAUUUUUAAAUGAUUUAUUCUUCUAUUUAAAUCUACUAUUUCAUCUGUCAACAAGAUUCUUUGAAGCUAUUUUAUAAUUGUUUCAAUAUUCUUCUUCAUCAUCUUCAUAUUCGAGAGUAAAUAUCAUUUUAAAUUAUCAACAUGAUCGUUUACCAUAGUCAAUAAGAUCGUUUAAAUUUGAAGCAUUUUCUCCAUCGUUUAAAACAAAAACUACGCAAUCUUGUUGACACAAUUUAAACAAUUGCAUACCAUAAUCAACACGAUCAUUUAAAAUUGAUGUUUUUUUUAUCGUAAAAAAAAACUACACAAUUGUGUAUCAUAACAUAAAUUAUCGUAGAUCAUUAAUUUAGAUUGUAAAAUUUCUAUAUUAUUGAAUAAAUCAUAUAAUGAUUCAGAGUACAUUAACUGCAUAGGAAUAUAUAGACCUCUAAGAAACCACUAAAGAAAAAUUCAUAAAUAAAAAAUUUCAAAACGGAAAAUAAUAAUGGAAAUACUAAUAAUUCACAAGCCCUAAUUUUCCUUUAACACUCACCCUUAAACUCAAGAUGCUAGAAUCACAAGUUUGAGUUUGCUAAGAAAACAUCUGAAGCAAAUCAGUAGAUCUAGGAUAAAAUCAAAAACCCAUGAAAAACAAAAACACAAAGAACUUCUAGGCUAAAAACAAACACAUGAAGAACAAAACGAAGAACUUCUGGGAUAGAAACAUAGAUUCUCGUAUAGAGAUCUAUAACAAAACCUACGAAGAACGAAACAAAGAACUUCUAGGCAAUAACAAAGAUCCUCAUAGAAGAUUAUAACAAUACACAUGAACGACUGAUUUGAAAACAGAACAAAUACAUAGAAUAGAACAUAAAAAUUGCGCUAAUUGAACCAGACUCAAUGAUUGAACCAACCAAAAGUACUAGACCAAAUCGAUGAACCAUGACUGGACAAAAUUGAACCAAUUGAGCUAAUUAAACAAACCAAACCAGUUGAAAAAGACAUGAAUUUUCUAUGGGCAAAGACUUUUACUUAAAUAAAAUCUGGAGACAGUUGUGCGAACACAAAUAGAGAAUGAAACCUAUGAUGAGAGGCAUGAACUCCCUGAGACAGAUUUGGAGUGGUGAAUUGAUAUGAAACAGACAACAUGGGUUAAAGACACACUAAUCUGGACAUAAGAUGGAGAAAGCCGCUGCAGUUUGUACAAUGAGUUGGAUAGAGUUGGCACUGGAGAACGACAAAUCUACACAUGAGUCUACAUCCGUCACUGCCUAGUCAAAUCGACGGAGGUAGAGGUAGCAGUGGCAACUAAUUUUCAAUGAGAAAAAGAAAAUCUAGAGAUCUGAUACCAUGUGAAGUUUCUAUAUUAUUGAAUAAAUCAUAAUAAUUCAAAGUACAUAAGGAUUUUAAUUAUUUAUUAUAUUUUUGUAUUAAAUAUGAUUUAAUUCAACAUGGUUAUGCACGUUAAUAGUUAAUUAACUUGUUGGAAGAAUUGUAGAAUCCCAAUCCGUUUAGGAUUUGAGAGAGCCUAAAGGGUUUAGGAUUUGAGAGAGCCAAGUCAUUAUACUCUUUUAAGGAGUUCAUAACUCUUUUAACUUAGAGCAUAACUGAAUUCAUGUGAAAUAUCAUAUUGUUAGUCUAAAAUAAGAAAUAAUAAGUGUAGGAAAAAAAAGAAAAUAGCGGAAAAUUGCAAAAAUUACCUAAACAUUUAGAAAAAAAUAGGUUAUGACACCUAUUUUUAGCAUAUUAUUAUGAAUAUGAUAAAAUUAGUGAUAUUAGAUGACUAUCACAUGAUAAUCAUAGGACUACAUACAGUAAUCAUAAGGUUAUCAACUUUUAAAUUUGCUACUUUUACAAUUUAGAAAAUGCAAUGACAAGAGCUCAGGGGUGAUCAUCGGUCGGAUGGGGUGGUUUUGCACAUAAACCAGGAUAAAAAGUCAACCUAGUCGGUUUAUUCUAAGGAAAAUUGACAACUGAUAUGAGCGGUUCGAUUACAAUCAAUUUGGUUUUCUUGAUUCAAUUGGGUCAGUUCGAUUUCUUUAAUAUUAAAUAAUAUAUAUAUAUAUAUAUAUAUUCAGUUUUUUUAAAAGGUUUUAAUCAAAAGAAGAAAAAGAAAUGUGCAGGGAACUCUCAGCCUUUUCUUCCUUUCUCAACAACAAAAUUAAGGCACACUUCAAUACAUUUCUUCUAAAGCCCAAUCAAAUCCUUUUAGCUUGUAGCCACAUAUGAUAAGCCAUACCUCAGGCUCACACAUAUCCUUGACUUCAAGAACAUAGCGUGGUGCUCAACUUACGCAUAUCUGGUAUCCAAGCGGUGGCAAAACCAAGAUGAUCACCACAUCAAAAUCCUCACAAAACUUCUGCCCCUUAAUCAUUUCAAAAAUAUUGAAUAGAAAAUGUUUCAAAAACAACUUCAAAGAUCUUAGCAUCUAAAACUCAAAAUCUACACCUUCCUCAGCUUGUCUUAAGUUCAAGAGCAACUUCUGUUCAUCGAUGAUUGUGGAUAAAUCGGAUUCCUGUUGGGCUUAUUUCAUUUUGAGCCCAGUCCACAACUUUUUUUUUAAUUUAGCUUUAUUAUGCAAUUGAUUAAUGAAGACAAUAUGUUAGUAACGGCAACACAGUGUGAAAAAUAAGAAAAAGUAAAUUUCGCGUGGUUCGUCUUUCUGUCAUUUGGAGAUCGAUUCGUGGUCCGAUUGAGCUGAAAUUUUAUUCUUUGGCACGUGGAUCUUCAUUUUAAGGGUGUAGAUUUCAUUUGGAGCUAUUUACCAUUAGAUUCUAGUAGAUAGUUGGCUACCCGUUGUUGCCGUAUUAUUAUUCUCGAGAACUUUGUUGUACCCAUUAAAGAUUAUUGUAGAGAUUUUGAUUUCGGUCCAUGUUUUUUACUCCUCAAGUAAGUUGAGGGAGUUUUUCCAUGUUAAAUUCUUUUAUAAUUGUUGUUAUUAUUGUUGAUUAGUAUUCUAUCAUGUUCACACAAGAGUGAGAUAAUUGAUCCAAGUUAAAAGGUGUUUAUCCCAACAAAGUGGUAUCUAGCGUUGGUUAAUUAAUUGGGAUUUAAUUGUGUUGAAUAUGGAUACUAGUUUAUUUUCUUGUGUUGAAUAGGAUACUAGUUCAGUUAAGAUGGUUACUCUUAAUGGGUCAAAUUAUCAAGUAUGGAAAAGAAAAAUGGAAGAUAUUGUAUCUAAAUGAUUUGCACCUUCCAGUUUUUUUUUAUGAGAAGCCUAACGACAAAACUAAUAGAGAAUGGGAAUUAUGUCAUAGGAAAGUCUGUGUUUAUGAGGCUAUGGGUAAAAGAUAAUUUUCUAAACCAUAUUUGUGAAGAAACUCAUGCGCAAAGUAUGUGGAAUAAGCUCGAUUCACCAUGUGCCCCUAAAACUAGUAAUAAUAAAAUGUUUCUGAUUAAACAUAUAUGAGUUAAAGUAUCAAGAUGGAGCGCCUAUGUUAGAUCACUUGAAUACAUUUCAAGGUA
rnacentral:lncRNA from 1 species